GGUACAUUUAGAAAAUUGGUUUUAACAGUUUAGAAAUAUCUUGUAGGCGUUACCAUGCCAAAACGCAAACAUCCUGUGGAGACAAGUGAAGGUACCAGAGCAAAACAUAAACCUCAUGCUGAACCAAUUGAUUACCAAAGACUUGCGCAAGAAAUUGUUAAAUUGCAAAAACCCAACUCUGAUGCAUCAAGCAGUACAGUGGUACCCCUAGAAAAUGCUGCAUCUGCUACAUAUGCAAACACCGUCAAUGAGUUACCUGCACCAACGACUGCUUCUUCGUCUAUGCAAGAUAACCCUAUAUUGGCAGAAGUCAACUGAUGUGUUUAUACUUGCAAGCCAAUCAGAGUGCGGCAUUUAGUCGCGCGAUGUUUUGACUACGUCACUUUAACUGUCAGCUGUCAACAAGUUUGUAAACACCGCAGUCAACCCACCCUCCUUCCCCUUCAUCACCAUUGUAGUUGGGGAUUUAUUUUGCAAUGUAUUACACAUGUUUGUUGCUGUUGAUGUAUGAAAUGCUGUUUUUGUUCAACAAUAUUUUUGUUGCAUGUAUAUUUGGUACAUGUUAUAAUGUAUACAUCUUUGUUUAAUAUGGGGGAGGUCAUUUGCUCACCUUUUAUAACUUACAUUCAAUGUCUGGUAAUUGGUAUUAUGACUGUUUGAAGACCUCCCCUUAUUGCCUAAUUUUUCUUAUUAGCAAAAAUAAAUGGCAGUACAUACACAC
rnacentral:sRNA from 1 species